GAGUUUGAUCUUGGCUCAGAAUCAACGCUGGCGGCGUGCCUAACACAUGCAAGUCGCACGAGAAAGUGGAGCAAUCCACGAGUACAGUGGCGCACGGGUGAGUAACACGUGACUAACCUACCCUCGAGUGGGGAAUAACCUAGAGAAAUCUGGGCUAAUACCGCAUAACACUUACGAGUCAAAGCAGCAAUGCGCUUGGGGAGGGGGUCGCGGCCGAUUAGCUAGUUGGCGGGGUAAUGGCCCACCAAGGCGAUGAUCGGUAUCCGGCCUGAGAGGGCGCACGGACACACUGGAACUGAAACACGGUCCAGACUCCUACGGGAGGCAGCAGUGGGGAAUUUUGCGCAAUGGGGGAAACCCUGACGCAGCAACGCCGCGUGGAGGAUGAAAUCCCUUGGGAUGUAAACUCCUUUUGAUAGGGAAGAUAAUGACGGUACCUAUAGAAGAAGCCCCGGCUAACUUCGUGCCAGCCGCCGCCGUAAU
rnacentral:rRNA from 1 species